GCGUAGUAAAAUACUAAGAGUUUGCGUCGCGUUUCUUCAAUUCUUCCCGUAGUAUGAAAACCACGACAGUCGCCCUCUGCUCAAAAAGAAAAAAAAAAAAAACCUCUCUCAAAACGGAGGCCGAUCUCUUCGUCUCUCUUGUUCUCCCUCUCUCUCCGUCAUCGCAAAUCCCAUCUUCCGCCAAUACUUCUGUCUAAGCUCUUCCUUAUCGGCAAACCAGAUUGGGGAAAUCUUUUGGGGGUAUCGUUCAGAUCUAGAUCCCUCACCUGCAAAAGAGUCAAUUGGGUCGCAUAUCGUAAACAACGUCGGUGAGUCCGUUUCAGGGGAGCUCUAGCUGGCUGGAGACCAGAGCUAAGAUGGGUUUCAGUUUAGGAUUCUUGGUCGGUAUCUUUGGAGUUCUAAUUCUCUCUCAUGCCGCUUAAUCAACCGUUCUUAUUUUCCUCUCUCUCGGCAACCAAGAGCAGCCUCCAUCUCUCUUUUCUUCGAGCAGCCUCCAAACCCAAAACCCAGAGAAGCAUUGAGCGAGACCUCCCCAAACCCAAAACCCAAAUCACUGUUCGAGCUUCUUCCACUGCCUUCGUCGAGACCUCCCCAGCUUCAUCACACACUUCUCCAUCUUCCUCAUGUCAUCAAUUGCUUCAUCAUUACUGUCCAGUAGCAAAUGGAGCUUUCUUUGGUUAUAGCAAUUACUGAGAGGAUCAUGAAGGCUCUCAAAGACUAGGACGAAGAUGAAAUCCCACCUGAAAGUGUCCGUUGCUAUGUUCUUUAUGAAUGCCGCAAGUGGAAUCUUGUUUGAACAUUUCUUUCUUCCUUAUUGUUCAGUUCAUGUACCGAAUGAUCCUGAAUAUUUCAGGCAGUUCCAUUUGCUUUGGAUUUUUGUUCCGUUCACAAGCAUGAUCUGUAUUUCAACUUCUCUAUAAUUGAACUUUAUGUUUCAACAUUUC